AUUGAACGCUGGCGGCAGGCUUAACACAUGCAAGUCGAGCGGGGGAAGGUAGCUUGCUACCGGACCUAGCGGCGGACGGGUGAGUAAUGCUUAGGAAUCUGCCUAUUAGUGGGGGACAACAUCUCGAAAGGGAUGCUAAUACCGCAUACGUCCUACGGGAGAAAGCAGGGGAUCUUCGGACCUUGCGCUAAUAGAUGAGCCUAAGUCGGAUUAGCUAGUUGGUGGGGUAAAGGCCUACCAAGGCGACGAUCUGUAGCGGGUCUGAGAGGAUGGUCCGCCAGACUGGGACUGAGACACGGCCCAGAAUCCUACGGGAGGCAGCAGUGGGGAAUAUUGGACAAUGGGGGGAACCCUGGUCCAGCCAUGCCGCGUGUGUGAAGAAGGCCUUAUGGUUGUAAAGCACUUUAAGCGAGGAGGAGGCUACUUUAGUUAAUACCUAGAGAUAGUGGACGUUACUCGCAGAAUAAGCACCGGCUAACUCUGUGCCAGCCGCCGCCGUAA
rnacentral:rRNA from 1 species